AGGAACACAGCACAUGCGCAUGGGAGAUCACGCGAGUGGAGGUUCGCGACAACCUGGUGCAGUUCAAGAAAUUCCUCGACAUCAGAGUCAAGCCAUGAGGAAGAAGAGGGUUGACCAUUUCUAGUUCUGUUUCCGUAAAGAAAAGUCGAGAGCAUGUUUCCAGAGCAUGUUUACAAGAACACACAGAGCGAGGACGUCUCUGUGGUUGCAUUAGAGUCUUUGGAAUAUAUGACCCAAUUAUUUAACAGCCUGACUCCUUUCACAUGGAACAAAGAAACACUGAACCUGUUCAAAAACAGAUGACCUAGUUAAGUUAAGAAAUUGGAGGGAUGCGUCGGGUGUGGUGUUGGGGCAUCCUCUGGAGAUGGAGGGUCAGUGACUUCAGGCAAAGGGUCUCUGAAAACGUAUUUCAACAAGCUGAACACAAUCU